GGAGAUUUGAGAGGGGCUGUCCCUAGUACGAGAGGACCGGGAUGGACGAACCUCUGGUGUACCAGUUGUCGCGCCAGCGGCAGCGCUGGGUAGCUACGUUCGGACGGGAGAAAUGCUGAAAGCAUCUAAGCGUGAAACCCUCCUCAAGAUUAGAUCUCCCGAGCUUCGGCUCCUGAAGGCUCCUGGAAGAUGACCAGGUAAUAGGCCAGGUGUGUAAGGUCCGCGAGGAUUUGAGCUAACUGGUACUAAUCAGCCGUGAGGCUUAGCCUUUUCU
rnacentral:rRNA from 1 species